GGCGGAAUGACUUGAUCGUGAACACUGUGAAUGCCAGACUGCAUUUGGCCGCUUCGGAGAUUAAGGAUAUCAAAGGUUCUGAAAACAUUGAUUCAUCUCCUCUGGUAAUGUAUAUCUUAGGCGUUUUUAUCAGGUUCGUUGAUGUGUCCCAAAGGCGAACAGGAGAGAUUGGCCUUUGGAUUAUUCGCCGUCACAGAACUCCUUAAUUGAGGAUUCCAUCACGAGUGCAAUGGAAAAAAAGGAUAUUUUCAUAUUUUAUAAACUGGAAAAGUAGCUGCUUCAUCUAUUUUUAUUAUUCAGUUAUAUAAAAACUCGGUGCAACUCGAAAUUUAGUUUCAAUUGCUGUUGGUUGACCGAGCAGGCUUGGAUUAUUGUGCAAGAGGAUAAUUGAUUUGCCAGUCGUCCUACGACUUUAGCAAUGGUAUGUGAAAUACUAUACUCCAGGAACUAAUACACGGUUGUUCAUGAUAUAAAUGAUGAAUUAAAAAAAUCUGUUAUAUUACUUCUUUUUGGGAAACCCUUUUUUAAGCUCGGUGAAUUCUCAUAAGAAAAAAGUAUGAAUAUAAUCUGGAUAGGUUUGAGAGCUAAUUUUAAUUAGGAAGCGAAAACCAGAUGAAAGCAUAAAUGGCUGGCAUAGAGAUGUAGACCUACAGUAUAUAAAACUGAAAACUUUUGCCUAUAACAUACCUCCAAGACCUGAACGAUGCCAUUACACAGGACAAAAUUCGAAUUGGGAAUGGGAUACCGUUAUGAGAUUUUACUACACGAGUGACAGUUAAGUUAUAAUUUAUGAAAACCUGACCUUUCUUUUAAUCUACGUUAACGUCCGCUUACAGCUUCUUGUUUCAGGAGAAAUUGGUAUGGAUUGCUGU